CCCUGCUCUCCAGCUCUCGGGGUCCAGCCUGAAUCUGGCCGCCGGCAGACAAUACAGGAAGUAGAAGACAAGGCUCAGAAUAAUGGCCCUGCCAGGGACUGAAAUUGGGCAGUGCAGGAAGCUAGAGAUGAAGCCAAGUUAAGCAACAUACAGUCUCAUGAUGCCUAUUUCAACAGAAUUCAUUUCUGAUGGAAAAUGGAGAAUAACAGAAGAGAGUAAUUUCAGACGCUAUGUCACAGACAGAAAAAUGAUGACAUACCAACUACAGGAAUCUGCUCAGCCAUAUAGAAGGCAUCAGCAACUCUGCUCAAUAAUGCAUGCUUCUGAACACAGCAGUUCUGCUCUGGACCCUGAAAACUCUGAUUUGAUCCUAUCUUUGGGGAAGCAGUGUGAAGAAGAAUGCAGCCUUGCCAGUGGCUGGCAACCAUGAGGUAAUAAUGAAGAAUGUAUGGAGUUACUGCAAGUCUGACAAACUGCUGAGUUACAAAAACAAAGGAUGAGCUGCUUAAUUCUAGAUGACCUCUUCAGAAACAACAACAUCUUAAAGAUGAAAUUUAUUAUUACUUGGAAUCCUGCUAAUUACACCUGAAAAUAUGUUAAAUGCUAAACACCUCUUAAGUUAUUUUCUUUUCGGAGUGUUUAGAAAUAUGACUCCAAUAACCUUCUCUGGAGCUGUUUAUUUCUGCCAUGUACCAGUCUUGGCAUAUAUCACUAGCAUCAUCUCACUUAAUCCUCACAGCAACCCUUUGAAGUAAACCAGAAAUCUGAGCAGUGAAGUCAUUUGUCCGAAGUAGUUAAGCUGGUACUCAGCAAGUGGAUCAGGACACAGGUCUCUCAACCUAACCAUAUUUCACCCACUUAUCCCCAAAUAACACGAUGAAGGCAAAAUUCUCCACUUUCUAUUUUUUGAGCCUACAAUUUCUCAAGUUCAUUAAAAGAAAUUUUUUUCCCUAAUUGUCUAGACAUUCGCUGGAAGGAUGGAGCUCAGGGUAGCUGUCCAUCAUGGAUGAUUAUUCUACUAUGCAGGAAGAGAAGGUGCAUUAAUGUCCUUUGCUGUGUUCUUUUAACCUAACAGUAAUUAUAGAGUCAACUUACCUUAAAACUGCAAAGAACAAAAGGCAGCACUGGUUUUACUAGUAAGAAGUGGAAUGCCAGUAUUAGAGUGAAUCCCAAGCUUUUUGAGACUAUAUAAUAGGUACUUUUCCUACCACCACUGAAUAAAAAUGAGAACGUAUUCAUUAUAUUUAAAAUAUACUAUUUUCUUAAAUAUAAAAGUAACACUCUCAUUGUAAAAAAUCUAGAAAAGUACACAGAAGAAAAUAGAAAUCACCUACAACUUAGCAGAGAUAAUCAUUGCUGAGAUUUAGGUUUGGCCCUCUUUCACUUGCCCCAUUUUUCCUAGACAUAAAUAUUUUAUCUGGAUGUUUUGUUCUUUCAUUUUCCAUUUCUUCAAAAUGUCCCCCAUGACACACAUUAAAAAUUCUUUAAAAACA